GUGGCGAGAGGAGGCGGAGAGCCACAGCCCCAGGCGGGAACAGCUGUCAGCGUGUGGGGCUCCCGGGGGACCCGAGCCCCUGGACGUGGGUCCUGUGGAUCUGCCAGGAUGCAGAUGCAGGGGCUCAGCACAGCCCAUGACAUCAGAGUCCACGGCCCUGGCGGGCAGCCCUGGGGCGCUUUUACUGCUUCCCCGGGACUUUCCAAACGUCUGCACCUUCUGUUGUGGAGCACAUGUGGGAUCAACAGGGUCGGCUCCACGGGGAGGCGGCUCCCGUAACCUGCCAGGCCUUCCUGCUCCGUGUUUGUUCUGCACCUGGUCCAGGCAGAUGCUUCGGGUCACCACGCCCCAGGCUCUCCCCUCAGCGCCCGCCCGGUCCCUGAAGCCUGCUCCCCAACCCACCCGCGACCGCAGGCUGGCCUCCCUGGGGCGGCUGCAACCGAGCUGCGUGCUCAGCACACGGGUGCACCGCGGGGAGGGAGCCGCUCUCGUCGGCAGGAGACCCCUGCCCGGCCCAGGCCACACAGGGCACUCAGCCCACGGUGGUGCCCACACGGCAGGGGAUGCUGGCCCUUCCUACCUGCAGCCUGGCCGGGCAGCAAGGGAGCCAAGAGCUCUCCCAGCACAUCCGGAGUGAACUGGUCACCUCGUCCGGCUGCCAGCCCUGGGGGGACCCCGGAUCCCUGUGCCCCUGUGCAGCCCCCACCCCAGGGCUUCCUUCCCUGCUCCGUGCUUCUGGGACCUCGGAGGGACAGGGAAGAGGGUGGGAGGCCAAGGGGAAGGGGUUGGGUGUCGUUCCCAGCCAAAGUGACACAAUGCCAGAGGCAGGUGCCAUCGGAGUCAGGUGCCACCGAGGUGCAGGGAGAACCACGAGUCCCCACCAGGCCCUGGGUGGACGCCUCUCCAGAUGCUGCUCUUGCUGGUGCUCCUGUUGUUCGUCCUGGGAGACGGGGGUGAGUCCCCAGAUCACAGUGUCCGGCUGCCAGCGACCCCGACCUCCAACCCUGGGGGCCCAGGCCACGACUCCUGGUGGGCUCCUUGCCUCGCGGCUCUGCCCCGGGGACGGGGCAGGUGGGGUGGGUGUGGGGGUCACACUCCACCCAAGCUGUCCUCGGAGCUCCACAGCCCGGGCCCCCUGGUCUGUGUGAGAACUGUUGCGCUCACGUGCCCUUCUGUGACCUUCAACGCUCUGAGGGCUCUCCUGGCAGCAGCUCCCCCGCGGGACAGAGGAGGAUGUUGGGAGGCACAGGAUGGAAACUGAGGCUUCUUGGUGCCCCCUCGUGCCCCAACCUGCCAGAACCACAUGCAGGGCCUCCCCUGCUUCCAAAUAACAGCCGUGGGAACGUCCACCUCCUUCUCCACCCGGGCCCCCAGCCACUCUCGGGGCCCCUGACGUCCAGAUGCCCUGAAAUUAAGGGGAAAACUCAGCUCCCAUGGCCAGGGCACACUUCACGUGGCCAGGCCCCGAUCCCACUGGACGGCAGAGAGGGUGCACGCCGACCACUGUGGGGCGUCCCGGGCAGUGCCGUGGGCUGUGCCGUCUGAGCGGGGGUGGGAGGGGACCCCACCUCUGCAGCCCGACCUGGGCCCCGAUCGCCCAGGGGGAGGCCGGCCCGGUGACCCCCUUUCCCUCCGGCAGCGAGAGGCUUCA